rnacentral:rRNA from 1 species
GAUGAACGCUGGCGGUAUGCUUAACACAUGCAAGUCGAACGGUCUCUUCGGAGAUAGUGGCGGACGGGUGAGUAACGCGUGAGAAUCUGGCUUCAGGUCGGGGACAACCACGGGAAACUGUGGCUAAUACCGGAUACGCCGAGAGGUGAAAGGCUUGCUGCCUGAAGAUGAGCUCGCGUCUGAUUAGCUAGUAGGUGUGGUAAAAGCGCACCUAGGCGACGAUCAGUAGCUGGUCUGAGAGGAUGAUCAGCCACACUGGGACUGAGACACGGCCCAGACUCCUACGGGAGGCAGCAGUGGGGAAUUUUCCGCAAUGGGCGAAAGCCUGACGGAGCAAUACCGCGUGAGGGAGGAAGGCUCUUGGGUUGUAAACCUCUUUUCUCAGGGAAGAAAAAAAUGACGGUACUUGAGGAAUAAGCAUCGGCUAACUCC